rnacentral:rRNA from 1 species
AUUGAACGCUGGCGGCAUGCCUUACACAUGCAAGUCGAACGGCAGCACGGGAGCAAUCCUGGUGGCGAGUGGCGAACGGGUGAGUAAAGUAUCGGAACGUGCCCAGUCGUGGGGGAUAACGUAGCGAAAGUUACGCUAAUACCGCAUACGAUCUAUGGAUGAAAGCGGGGGGUCGCAAGACCUCGCGCGAUUGGAGCGGCCGAUAUCAGAUUAGGUAGUUGGUGGGGUAAAGGCUCACCAAGCCGACGAUCUGUAGCUGGUCUGAGAGGGCGACCAGCCACACUGGGACUGAGACACGGCCCAGACUCCUACGGGAGGCAGCAGUGGGGAAUUUUGGACAAUGGGCGAAAGCCUGAUCCAGCCAUGCCGCGUGCAGGAUGAAGGCCUUCGGGUUGUAAACUGCUUUUGUACGGAACGAAAAGGUUUGGCCUAAUAAGCUGAGCUCAUGGCGGUACCGUAAGAAUAAGCACCGGCUAACUACGUGCCAGCCGCCGCAGUAA